rnacentral:lncRNA from 1 species
AAUUCUGGAAAAUAUUAUAUUAUUUUAUAAUCCGAAAUUAUUAAAAUAUUAUUAUUAAAAAAAAAAAAUCGGAAAAAUUAUUUUUGACCCCGGUUGCUCAGAAUUUCGUGCCGAUCGCUGUUGUGUAGUCGGAUUUUGAAAUUGAUGAUUGGAUAUUCUAAAUUGAGUGUGGAUUGUGAAAAAUAUGAAUAUUAUUAUUUAAUUAUUUUCGGAAUAAAUUUAAUUAUUUAAUAAAUUCCGAAAAUUUUGUCAGGACCCUAAACUCUCAGAAUUUCGUGCCGAUCGUUGCUGUGCAUUUAGAAUUUGAAAUUGAUGAUUGGUUAUGAUGAAUUGAGUGUGAUUGUGAUUUAUAGGGAUUCUUUACGAAAUCCUAAGUGUAGAAAUUGAUGGGAGAUUGGCUGUGAAAUACCACCUAUUAGAGGUCGUGCCCAGAGAGGCCGUGAUAAACCACCUUGGAAAGGUCGUGCCCGAUGAGGCCGUGAAAAACCACCUACAAGAGGUCGUGCCCGAUGAGGCCGUGAAAUACCACCUAUGAAAGGUCGUGCCCAGAGAGGCCGUGAUAAACCACCUAUGAAAGGUCGUGCCCAGAGAGGCCGUGAUAAACCACCUGUGAAAGGUCGUGCCCAGAGAGGCCGUGAUGAACCACCUCUGAGAGGUCGUGCCUAGAGAGGCCGUGAUAAACCACCUUGGAAAGGUCGUGCCCGAUGAGGCCGUGAAAGACCACCUACAAGAGGUCGUGCCCAGUGGGGCCGUGAAUUGCCACCUGUUAAAGGUCGCGCCGAGUGGGGCCGUGAUGCCACUGAUUUAAAUUUGCCGAGUAGGGCCGUAGUUGAGAGCAACGAUUGAUUUGCUAGAAUGACAUGUAAUCGGCCGAGUCGAUUGAUCGCUGAGACGAUCCAAGUGGUUGAAUGGUUUGAUAAUGUGAUUGUGCCAUGGUUGUUUGGUUAUCAUAAUUGCACGUGGUUGGUUUAUAUAAAUUGUGCUAACCUGCAGAUAAAGGCAGAGGCGAGGUAAGUCUUCUGUGUGAUGUGGCUAGGCCACCAUUUGGCGUAUUUUCUUUCUAAUAGGGGUUUAGGGGGUUGAACUUGCUGAGACGUUGUCUCAGUGGUUAUUGAAUAACCAUUUCAGGUCCCUGGUGGACGGAGCGGCCAUAUAGCUUUGGUUGGCCUUGAGGAGUUGCAGAGGUGAAGUCAUAAGGGUUGAAGAGCGUGUCCUGCUAGUUGGUUGUAGGAUAAUCCCCCUUUUGUCGAGCUGGUCUAUUUUGUAGAAAGUCCAGUGUUGUAUUUAAACCCCUUUUGUGUUUGUAAAUGAGUGUUUGGUAUUGUGAUUGAUUGCCUGCUUUUCUAUCCCAAGUUAAAUGUUGUCAAGGGAUUUGUUUCGCUUCCGCAUGCGUAAAGAAAUGAAUGGGUCGGCGACAUAUCCUGGGAUGUCGCAUUUUUGAUCGACCGCAGUGGGAUGUGCGCGCGCUCGGGGUUUGGGGCGUGACA